CUAGCCGUAAACGAUACUCGCUAGGUGUCGGCCACGGUGCGACCGUUGUCGGUGCCGUAGGGAAGCCGUGAAGCGAGCCACCUGGGAAGUACGGCCGCAAGGCUGAAACUUAAAGGAAUUGGCGGGGGAGCACCACAACGGGUGGAGCUUGCGGUUUAAUUGGAUUCAACGCCGGAAAUCUUACCGGGACCGACAGCAAUAUGAAGGCCAGGCUGAAGACUUUGCCGGAUUAGCUGAGAGGUGG
rnacentral:rRNA from 2 species